CGUUUUCACCAACAACCCCUUACCGUUUCCCUAUCUAAAAGCUACUUUUAAUAAGGACCCCUCCCAAUUUGACACCUACCUAAAUUCAUUUUCACCACACUUGUACAUGGAUCCCUUAAGUAAGUGACAGAUUACUAGUUCUACAAACGAUAAUGCAAAGUCGAUAUUUUAUCGAUAAAAUGAUUUUUCUGUACUUCUUAAGAAAUAAACGUCUAUCGAGUAUAUAUUACUAAAGCCUAAGAAAAAGACAAGCUAGUGAAAUUGCUGACGUCUCAUAGAGACACAAUAUUAAACAAAAAACGGAUGGGACCACGAACGAAGCCAAAAACAAAGCUUGGAUCCAGUCACAAAUAGUUUUAAUGCGAUAGGAACCGUUUACAGUUUCAGGUGGUGCGAGAAAUUGGAAAGACGUGUAAAAACAUGCUGCGCCCAGCCCACCCCAAAUUGAAUUGGUGCAGGAGGAUGAUGAUAAUGUUUAUUACAUCAUAUGAGGACUAAUAUUAAAAUAUUUGUUUACUAUCUUUGUUUUAAUUUACAUAAUUUAUUAUGUUCAAUGUUAGCCUACUUCUUACCUCCAGAGGGUAUCCCCUAUCACCUAGGAGAUAGGCUCCUCCAUAUUCACCAUUUUCGAAUCAUUGGUAUCUAUUGCAGUUUUGGUAUUUAAGGCCAAUUCAAACCUGAGCGAUAUUUGCUGCCGCUGUGGGUAAAGGUAGAUACCGCGCCGGUUUCGCUCAGGUAUUUAGUAUCAAGUAUAGUUACCGGCACGGAUAUUGAGCUCUCGGCGGAAGAGUGGGGAUCGCUUUGCGCACUGUACACAAGGCAAUAAACCAAUAAAUGGCUUCUGCGCAAGUGAAGGUCAGGGCUCAAUAUCCGUGCCGAUAACUAUACCGCGGCUAGAGCGACCUGAGCGAUAUCCACUGCCGCUGUGGGUAGAAGUACAUACCGCGCGGCAGCAGCGGCAUGCAUCCCGAACAUCAACAGUAAUAUUAACGCAUACCCACUGGGUUUUCUCUGUCGCAGGUGGUAGCGAAUACCGCUUAGGUCUGAACAGUCAUAUUACCGCAUACCCACAGGGUUUUCUCUG